CCUGCUUACAAAUUGCUGAUUGAUGCUGACAAACUUGGCAAUGUGAAAUUUGAAGGGUGGAAGGAAACAACAACAAACACAUUGGAGGUUUUUCUGACUCACUUCCAAAUGGUAACUCCAUGUUCCCUGAAUUUCUGUUUCUUGCAUCACAUUUAGGGUUAAUGAAAUGUAUAUUAUGCAAUAGAUACUUCAUCAAAAAGUUCAUAUAAAGAUAUCUUUGAUAUCUCCUUUGCCUUUAGGAACUAGUUAGUCGUG
rnacentral:lncRNA from 1 species